UUUCCCUGCCAGAGCGCCCUGGACGCUGCGGGGCGAGGCUCUCGCGGGCGCGCGCGGGUCGCUGGGACCCGCCGUCCGGCGUCCCCGCACCUGGAAAGCCCUGGAAGUCGGGCCGCCACGCCUCGCCCCGGCUCUAGCAGAUAAACAGCUGCCUGAAGGGGACUGACUUCCUGACCACUCUCUCCACUUUUCCAGGGCUAUUUCUCCCGGUCCUCUCCAGAGCGUUUGCCAAUCUCCCCGACACUAGGCGGCGAAGCGAGGGGGGGGAAAAAGCCCAGUUUCCUGAUUUCUUUCCGCCGCUAACCCCCCUUUUCGUCCAGGAACGUCGGGCACCGAGUCUCCGGGCCGCUGGAGCCCUUGGGGGCGCGAAGCGGAGUCCCCGCCCGGGUGGCCGUUCCACGCCGAGCCCAGCAGGUCUCCGCGGAGUUGGUGCACCCGGCCGAGGCGCGGAAAGAUGGGGCAUCUCCAGCCAAGAAUGUGGGGCGAGGAGGAGUUACACAUUUCACCCUCGGGAACUGAGAGCCCAGUCUGCACUCCUGCAGUAAGGAAACCAUUUCCCAUACAAUAGUUCCAGGAACUUCAUCAUUUUUUUUUUUAACUAUGUGGAGCGAAAGUAUUUUAAAAGCUUGUCCUGACUAGGAAGAUAUGCCUGCUUUUACUAGAAUCACAGGUUUUUAAAGCCCUGCUCCAUCAGGAAAGGGAUUUGUGGUACCUAUAGAGGAGGCAAUCAAUGCCAAGAGCCAUUGAGACAUGUUUUUCUUUUCCAAAAAUUGUUCAAGUUAUUUAUUGAACACCUACUAUGGGCUGGCACAUAAAAAGCCAGAUUCUCCCAAUUGCCUAAGCAUAAAUCUACGUUUCACUUAGCCAUUUGUUUUUAAUUCCUUUUUGUUGCUAAAGUUUCUGUUUAGUUUCUAGGCAAAACCUUCGUAAAAUGGAAACUUAGCACCUGUGAAACUUGCCAUGGGCUCCAUAUAGGUAAUUUUGCUAAUGUGUGUGGGCUUCUACUAGCUUAUUUUCUUUAUGAGGCCAUUCUGAUUAGUCUGGGGAGAGAUGAGCCAUGUUAGAAGUCCUAUUUGGAAAUAUGAUCUUAACAAUUCUGUAAGGUAAAUCACCAAAUAUGUAAUGACUGAACUGAAUAUUGCACUGAGGUAAGGCUCCCAGCUUUGUAGGCCUAACAAGGUUCUUGAGUGUCAACAGGCAUUCAGAUGGAUUGACUGCUUUUAGUUGGGGUUAGUCAAUGACAUAGCACAAGAAGUGUCCGUGUUGCUCUGCAAGAAAGAGGGUACUUUUCAGUUCAGAUCUCAAGUAAGA
rnacentral:lncRNA from 1 species